rnacentral:rRNA from 1 species
UACGUAGGGCGCGAGCGUUGUCCGGAAUUAUUGGGCGUAAAGAGCUCGUAGGCGGUGUGUCACGUCGGCCGUGAAAACCUGGGGCUUAACUCUGGGCGUGCGGUCGAUACGGGCAUCACUAGAGUUCGGCAGGGGAGACUGGAAUUCCUGGUGUAGCGGUGAAAUGCGCAGAUAUCAGGAGGAACACCGGUGGCGAAGGCGGGUCUCUGGGCCGAUACUGACGCUGAGGAGCGAAAGCAUGGGUAGCGAACAGG